CCUACGGGUGACAGCAGUAGGGACUCUUCCACAAUGAGCGAAAGCCUGAUGGAGCAACGCAGCGUGGGUGAAGAAGGUCUUCGGAUCGUAAAACCCUGUUGUUAGAGAAGAAAGUACGUGAGAGUAACUGUUCACAUUUCGACGGUAUCUAACCAGAAAGCCACGGCUAACUACGUGCCAGCAGCCGCGGUAAUACGUAGGUGGCAAGCGUUAUCCGGAGUUAUUGGGCGUAAAGGGGACGCAGGCCGUCUUUUAAGUCUGAGGGGAAAGCCCUCGGCUUAACCGGAGUAGUGCUUUGGAAACUGGGAGACUUGAGUGCAGUAGAGGAGAGUGGAACUCCAUGUGAAGCGGUGGAAUGCGUAGAUAGAUGGAAGAACACCAGCGGCGAAAGCGGUUCUCUGGUCUGUCACUGACGCUGAGGUUCGAAAGCGUGGGUAGCAAACAGGAUUAGAUACCCCUGUAGUC
rnacentral:rRNA from 1 species